rnacentral:rRNA from 1 species
GGUUAAGCGACUAAGCGUACACGGUGGAUGCCCUGGCAGUCAGAGGCGAUGAAGGACGUGCUAAUCUGCGAUAAGCGUCGGUGAGGUGAUAUGAACCGUUAUAACCGGCGAUUUCCGAAUGGGGAAACCCAGUGUGUUUCGACACACUAUCAUUAACUGAAUCCAUAGGUUAAUGAGGCGAACCGGGGGAACUGAAACAUCUAAGUACCCCGAGGAAAAGAAAUCAACCGAGAUUCCCCCAGUAGCGGCGAGCGAACGGGGAGGAGCCCAGAGCCUGAAUCAGUGUGUGUGUUAGUGGAAGCGUCUGGAAAGGCGUGCGAUACAGGGUGACAGCCCCGUACACAAAAAUGCACAUAUUGUGAGCUCGAUGAGUAGGGCGGGACACGUGGUAUCCUGUCUGAAUAUGGGGGGACCAUCCUCCAAGGCUAAAUACUCCUGACUGACCGAUAGUGAACCAGUACCGUGAGGGAAAGGCGAAAAGAACCCCGGCGAGGGGAGUGAAAAAGAACCUGAAACCGUGUACGUACAAGCAGUGGGAGCCUCUUAAUGGGGUGACUGCGUACCUUUUGUAUAAUGGGUCAGCGACUUAUAUUCUGUAGCAAGGUUAACCGAAUAGGGGAGCCGAAGGGAAACCGAGUCUUAACUGGGCGUUAAGUUGCAGGGUAUAGACCCGAAACCCGGUGAUCUAGCCAUGGGCAGGUUGAAGGUUGGGUAACACUAACUGGAGGACCGAACCGACUAAUGUUGAAAAAUUAGCGGAUGACUUGUGGCUGGGGGUGAAAGGCCAAUCAAACCGGGAGAUAGCUGGUUCUCCCCGAAAGCUAUUUAGGUAGCGCCUCGUGAAUUCAUCUCCGGGGGUAGAGCACUGUUUCGGCAAGGGGGUCAUCCCGACUUACCAACCCGAUGCAAACUGCGAAUACCGGAGAAUGUUAUCACGGGAGACACACGGCGGGUGCUAACGUCCGUCGUGAAGAGGGAAACAACCCAGACCGCCAGCUAAGGUCCCAAAGUCAUGGUUAAGUGGGAAACGAUGUGGGAAGGCCCAGACAGCCAGGAUGUUGGCUUAGAAGCAGCCAUCAUUUAAAGAAAGCGUAAUAGCUCACUGGUCGAGUCGGCCUGCGCGGAAGAUGUAACGGGGCUAAACCAUGCACCGAAGCUGCGGCAGCGACACUAUGUGUUGUUGGGUAGGGGAGCGUUCUGUAAGCCUGUGAAGGUGGCCUGUGAGGGUUGCUGGAGGUAUCAGAAGUGCGAAUGCUGACAUAAGUAACGAUAAAGCGGGUGAAAAGCCCGCUCGCCGGAAGACCAAGGGUUCCUGUCCAACGUUAAUCGGGGCAGGGUGAGUCGACCCCUAAGGCGAGGCCGAAAGGCGUAGUCGAUGGGAAACAGGUUAAUAUUCCUGUACUUGGUGUUACUGCGAAGGGGGGACGGAGAAGGCUAUGUUGGCCGGGCGACGGUUGUCCCGGUUUAAGCGUGUAGGCUGAUUUUCCAGGCAAAUCCGGAAAAUCAAGGCUGAGGCGUGAUGACGAGGCACUACGGUGCUGAAGCAACAAAUGCCCUGCUUCCAGGAAAAGCCUCUAAGCAUCAGGUAACAUCAAAUCGUACCCCAAACCGACACAGGUGGUCAGGUAGAGAAUACCAAGGCGCUUGAGAGAACUCGGGUGAAGGAACUAGGCAAAAUGGUGCCGUAACUUCGGGAGAAGGCACGCUGAUAUGUAGGUGAAGCGACUUGCUCGUGGAGCUGAAAUCAGUCGAAGAUACCAGCUGGCUGCAACUGUUUAUUAAAAACACAGCACUGUGCAAACACGAAAGUGGACGUAUACGGUGUGACGCCUGCCCGGUGCCGGAAGGUUAAUUGAUGGGGUUAGCGGCAACGCGAAGCUCUUGAUCGAAGCCCCGGUAAACGGCGGCCGUAACUAUAACGGUCCUAAGGUAGCGAAAUUCCUUGUCGGGUAAGUUCCGACCUGCACGAAUGGCGUAAUGAUGGCCAGGCUGUCUCCACCCGAGACUCAGUGAAAUUGAACUCGCUGUGAAGAUGCAGUGUACCCGCGGCAAGACGGAAAGACCCCGUGAACCUUUACUAUAGCUUGACACUGAACAUUGAGCCUUGAUGUGUAGGAUAGGUGGGAGGCUUUGAAGUGUGGACGCCAGUCUGCAUGGAGCCGACCUUGAAAUACCACCCUUUAAUGUUUGAUGUUCUAACGUUGGCCCGUAAUCCGGGUUGCGGACAGUGUCUGGUGGGUAGUUUGACUGGGGCGGUCUCCUCCUAAAGAGUAACGGAGGAGCACGAAGGUUGGCUAAUCCUGGUCGGACAUCAGGAGGUUAGUGCAAUGGCAUAAGCCAGCUUGACUGCGAGCGUGACGGCGCGAGCAGGUGCGAAAGCAGGUCAUAGUGAUCCGGUGGUUCUGAAUGGAAGGGCCAUCGCUCAACGGAUAAAAGGUACUCCGGGGAUAACAGGCUGAUACCGCCCAAGAGUUCAUAUCGACGGCGGUGUUUGGCACCUCGAUGUCGGCUCAUCACAUCCUGGGGCUGAAGUAGGUCCCAAGGGUAUGGCUGUUCGCCAUUUAAAGUGGUACGCGAGCUGGGUUUAGAACGUCGUGAGACAGUUCGGUCCCUAUCUGCCGUGGGCGCUGGAGAACUGAGGGGGGCUGCUCCUAGUACGAGAGGACCGGAGUGGACGCAUCACUGGUGUUCGGGUUGUCAUGCCAAUGGCACUGCCCGGUAGCUAAAUGCGGAAGAGAUAAGUGCUGAAAGCAUCUAAGCACGAAACUUGCCCCGAGAUGAGUUCUCCCUGACUCCUUGAGAGUCCUGAAGGAACGUUGAAGACGACGACGUUGAUAGGCCGGGUGUGUAAGCGCAGCGAUGCGUUGAGCUAACCGGUACUAAUGAACCGUGAGGCUUAACCUU